rnacentral:rRNA from 1 species
AUUGAACGCUGGCGGCAGGCCUAACACAUGCCAGUCGAGCGGAUGAAGGGAGCUUGCUCCUGGAUUCAGCGGCGGACGGGUGAGUAAUGCCUAGGAAUCUGCCUGGUAGUGGGGGAUAACGUCCGGAAACGGGCGCUAAUACCGCAUACGUCCUGAGGGAGAAAGUGGGGGAUCUUCGGACCUCACGCUAUCAGAUGAGCCUAGGUCGGAUUAGCUAGUUGGUGGGGUAAAGGCCUACCAAGGCGACGAUCCGUAACUGGUCUGAGAGGAUGAUCAGUCACACUGGAACUGAGACACGGUCCAGACUCCUACGGGAGGCAGCAGUGGGGAAUAUUGGACAAUGGGCGAAAGCCUGAUCCAGCCAUGCCGCGUGUGUGAAGAAGGUCUUCGGAUUGUAAAGCACUUUAAGUUGGGAGGAAGGGCAGUAAGUUAAUACCUUGCUGUUUUGACGUUACCAACAGAAUAAGCACCGGCUAACUUCAUG